rnacentral:rRNA from 1 species
CCUCCGUGUGUCUGCCGUUCUUACUAUUUUUCAAUUUUCUCUAUCCUUAACCAGCCAAGUCGCGUGAAGGAUGAAGGAUCUAUGGUUUGUAAACUUCUUUUAUAUGGGAAUAAAGUGAGGAACGUGUUCCUUUUUGUAUGUACCAUAUGAAUAAGCAUCGGCUAACUCCGUGCCAGCAGCCGCGGUAAUACGGAGGAUGCGAGCGUUAUCCGGAUUUAUUGGGUUUAAAGGGUGCGUAGGUGGUUAAUUAAGUCAGCGGUGAAAGUUUGUGGCUCAACCAUAAAAUUGCCGUUGAAACUGGUUGACUUGAGUAUAUUUGAGGUAGGCGGAAUGCGUGGUGUAGCGGUGAAAUGCAUAGAUAUUGCGCAGAACUCCGAUUGCGAAGGCAGCAUACCGGCGGCGAUCUGACGCUGAGGCACGAAAGCGUGGGUAUCGAACAGGAUUAGAUACCCUUGUAGUC